UCUGGCGGCAGUAGCGCGGUGGUCCCACCUGACCCCAUGCCGAACUCAGAAGUGAAACGCCGUAGCGCCGAUGGUAGUGUGGGGUCUCCCCAUGCGAGAUUAGGGAACUGCCAGAC
rnacentral:rRNA from 1 species